AGGCUCCUGUGCUCAAAGGUGGGGCUUUUGGAAGGUGAUUGUGAAGUAGAAGAUUACGGCUCGACAAAACCGGGUUGAGCAAGUGGGCAUUGCCUGUCCGUCAUGAAGGCCCAAAACCCAGGUACAGAACCCGGAAUCCAGGAUGACUGAGCAAGCUCCCGGACCCUGUGUGUGGGACUCCGGGACUAAUCAGAAAGGGCUAUCUUCUGUUCUUCCUUUACGUCUGGUAUGAGACCAAACAGACCUUUAACAGGAGCUUAAAUCUGACAUCAGGCCAAGGUUGAACUCUGCAAGGCUCUACUGCAGGUUCCAGCUGCCUUUCCCCUGAAGAUAGUCCAUGUUCCUUCAAAUGGGAGGUGAUGAUCCCUCCAACUUACCAGCUCAGGAGAAUGGCCUUUAUGCCCCCUUGUGCCUCUGCAGUGUGGAACCAAGUAGCGGCACAGCCAGGCCAGAGGUGGUGUGUGUGUGUGUGUGUGUGUGUGUGUGUGUGUGGAAUGGGUGGGUUUUCAGGUGCCUGUGUGCUAAGCUACUCACUGGUGGGUGUACUGAGGGGUCCUCACUGUCUCACUGGUUGAAGGUGGGUGAGGCAAGCCCAAUGGAGCGAGGCUCCAGACACCCAGGGGCCUCUCAGCCUUCAUGCCUAGCUACUUGCUCGUGGGUGUGCCAAAGGGGGUACAAGUGAGUUUCUGAUAGGACAACCUCCAAAAUGCUUUGUUUUCAUGGGGGAGAAGCAAAGCUAGAAGCAGGAAAUAUGAAAGAGCCUGGCCAUUAACCUCAUGCUGCGUUGAACCUUUCUCUGGGUGCUCUGUUUCUAUGGAGUGUAUUUCUUUUCCAUUUUCAAUAAAUGCAAAUUCUCACUACCUCUUCCAUGUGUCUUGUCCAAUUCUUCGUUUAGGACACCAAGAACUGGAAAGAAUUGCUUCAGGGACUAAAGCCAGUAACAAUUGGACUGUGGGGGCUUUAGCUGACUUGGUGUUAGGAAGUGGGGUCUGGUUGGAAGAGGCAGCUCACUGGGAUGUGGUCUGUCACUGGUGGGGUGGUCUGGAGGUGUUAUCUCCCUCCCCAG
rnacentral:lncRNA from 1 species